UAUAAAAGUAUGCGUUAAUAUUGAAUGUAUUGCAAAAUGACUAAGCAUUUUAGGGCAUGACAUAUUCCUUUUGCGACUACUGUUUCAUUCCAAAUUAGUCUUGGCUGAAGAGUAGAAGCCAGUUCAGUGAUAUCUAUUAUUUCUUUUUUAUAAUCCAAGUUUGAGUUGUAUUCUAUCACGAGGAACAGAGGUUCUGCUCUCGUGCAUUCUUGUAUAGUACAAAAGCAGCGUCCGAUUGACGCUUUUUGUACGGGCUUGAAAGCUCUACGGCCUUCGUUGGCCAGCUACGUUCCACGAAGUGCCAUUCCGGACCGUGCGGGCCCGCCAUUACGGUAGCUAAACGGGAAUAGAGGCCAUCCGACCUGCCGAGAGUCUUCGAGGGAAGGUUUCAUUACGUCACGGUGGUUGAGUAGUCCCACAGGCGAGAACCAGUUGGAGGCACGUUGGCCUUCCGGACGAGAGGAGACGGUAGAGUAUCGGACCAUCAGCCACAGCCCAUUCCCGCAACGUUGUUUCGGCCCCUUACGCACGUGUGCCCCUCCCGGCGACGCUUCUGCCGAGGAGCUCUGGUGAUCCCUGGAACAAAAGGUUCGGACACCCGCUGUAGCCGGUACCCCGGCCGCUGGACGUCACGCAGCGUCGACCCACCCCUGACGGUUCGAGCAGCUGCCAGCAUCAGCAUAAAAUCCCUGAUCAGGUAUGUUGUUAAGCAUGGCCAUGUCACACACACUACAACACAUACACUUUCACGUUACACAUAAAUGAA